UACAGAGGUCCCAAGCGUUGUUCGGAUUCACUGGGCGUAAAGGGUGCGUAGGCGGUCGGGUAAGUCUGACGUGAAAUCUCCAAGCCUAACUUGGAAACUGCGUUGGAUACUAUCCGGCUCGAGGAGUGGAGGGGAGACUGGAAUACUUGGUGUAGCAGUGAAAUGCGUAGAUAUCAAGUGGAACACCAGUGGCGAAGGCGAGUCUCUGGACAUUUCCUGACGCUGAGGCACGAAAGCCAGGGGAGCAAACGGG
rnacentral:rRNA from 1 species